rnacentral:rRNA from 1 species
AAUGAACGCUGGCGGCAGGCCUAACACAUGCAAGUCGAGCGAAGUCUUCGGACUUAGCGGCGGACGGGUGAGUAACGCGUGGGAACAUGCCCUUUGGUGCGGAAUAGCCCCGGGAAACUGGGAGUAAUACCGCAUGUGCCCUUCGGGGGAAAGAUUUAUCGCCAAAGGAUUGGCCCGCGUUGGAUUAGGUAGUUGGUGGGGUAAUGGCCUACCAAGCCGACGAUCCAUAGCUGGUUUGAGAGGAUGAUCAGCGACACUGGGACUGAGACACGGCCCAGACUCCUACGGGAGGCGGCAGUGGGGAAUCUUGGACAAUGGGCGCAAGGCUGAUCUAGCCAUGCCGGGUGAACGAUGAAGGCCUUAGGGUUGUAAAGAUCUUUCAGUGGGGAAGAUAAUGACGGUACCCACAGAAGAAGCCCCGGCUAACUCCGUG